GCAUCAUGUAGUAUAGUUAUCUUAUAUUAAAGGAAUUUAGCUAUGGGUUUUUGAAUAAUAAUUUUUGGAGUCUUCUUAACCCAAAAUUGAGACACAAAAGACAUGGUUCAACCCAAUUACCCUUAGCCCAUUCUUCCCAACUCAUUAGCCCAUUUAAGUGCAAGAUUUAAUCCUAGCCAUCUCUUUUCUUCUAAUCCAAUGACUAUCAUCCUUUCCCACUUCCAUAUAAAAUACCCAAUUAUAGAACCCUUAAGUUUUUAAUUCCAAAAACCUAGCUAACACACAAAAACGGCGGAUUCAAAAGAGGAGUCCAUGGUCUCCAAUUCUCAGAUAUAGCAAAACGGUAGCAACCAUUAUGUUGACUAUACACUGUUCUGUUCUUCAGCUGAUUCCUUUCUUCUUCUAAUAAUUACGUGCUUCUAACUCCUAAAGCUCCUUUUUGGAGCUCCAAUUAUUUAACUCCAAAUACCAAAAUCCAGAGCAGGAUUAUCAAAGAAUGGGGGUAGGAGGACGUGAGGUGGCAAUUUCAUUGGAUGGAGUGAGGGACAAGAUUGUGAUGUAAUUGAAGUAAAUCAAUAUUGCAAUUUUCCCAAUUCGCUACAAUGAUAGGUAUUACAUUGAUGCCAUUGCCUCUGGUGAUUUUACCAAGCUAGCGUAUUACAGUGACAUUUGUGUUGGUUCAAGUGCAUGUCGCCUUGAGAAGAAGGAAGGUGGGGCUGUUCGUGUUUAUAAUGACUACGGUUGUUUUUGCUCCAUAUCAUGGGCUAGGUCGAAAGAGAAGCAGAUCCAACUUUUUGAAGUUUUAUGUCUUUGGGUCAUCCAUGGCGAUCCUGCUGUCAGUGGCCUAUCUUGCUAUGAGCAAUUUCUCAUUGGAGCUGCUGGAAAGGUACUAAAGUUGCAAAAAACGUCAGUCUCCCUAUCCAGUGCCCAAUCGUUAAAAUUCCUUAUGAAUCGUAUCCUCCAUCUAUGUUUCUCUUGGAGAAGCCAAGGAAGCUUCCUUAUAUUGGGAAAUUGCAAACAGUUCAGGGAAUUGAUCUUUCAGCAAGGUCGUAGCGGGUCCAUUUAUCAUUUUAAUCAAGCCAAAAUGAUUAAAGUUUGGAGACUCUAAAGAUUGCAGAUGUCCUACUAGGAUUUGUGGUACAAUUUUUGGCUAUCGGUACAACCAUUUCUCUUAUUAAAAAUAUGGCACCUCCUAAGAGGGCUUCUUGAUUGUUAGUGUAACUCUGGUGUUAUUCUUUGACUGAUUAAAGAGGGUUCUUAUAUAUUUGUGAUUCGACGGAGAUGCUGCUGUAAGUUGCCUUUAUCAAUGCUAUUUUUGCAAGCUUUUAGGAUUAACAUUAUCUUUUGAGCUUUUGACAUGUUCAACCAUAGCUUUUUAGAGUAUCAGUCCGGAUGUACCUAGCCUUUGUCUUUUUUAUUUUCCUUCUCAGUAAAUCUUAGGCCUUCUUUCUUUUUUGA